rnacentral:rRNA from 1 species
AGUGAACGCUGGCGGUAGGCCUAACACAUGCAAGUCGAACGGCAGCACAGUAAGAUCUUGCUCUUACGGGUGGCGAGUGGCGGACGGGUGACGAAUACAUCGGAAUCUACUUUUUCGUGGGGGAUAACGUAGGGAAACUUACGCUAAUACCGCAUACGACCUACGGGUGAAAGCAGGGGAUCUUCGGACCUUUCGCGAUUGAAUGAGCCGAUGUCGGAUUAGCUAGUUGGCUGGGUAAUGGCCCACCAUGGCGACGAUCCGUAGCUGGUCUGAGAGGAUGAUCGGCCACACUGGAACUGAGACACGGUCCAGACUCCUACGGGAGGCAGCAGUGGGGAAUAUUGGACAAUGGUCGCAAGCCUGAUCCAGCGAUACCGCGUGGGUGAAGAAGGCCUUCGGGUUGUAAAGCCCUUUUGUUGGGAAAGAAAAGCAGCAGGUUAAUACCCCGCUGUUCUGACGGUACCCAAAGAAUAAGCACCGGCUAACUUCGUG